GUGGGGAAUUUUGGACAAUGGGCGAAAGCCUGAUCCAGCCAUGCCGCGUGCAGGAUGAAGGCCUUCGGGUUGUAAACUGCUUUUGUACGGAACGAAAAGACUCCUUCUAAUAAAGGGGGUCCAUGACGGUACCGUAAGAAUAAGCACCGGCUAACUACGUGCCAGCAGCCGCGGUAAUACGUAGGGUGCAAGCGUUAAUCGGAAUUACUGGGCGUAAAGCGUGCGCAGGCGGUUAUAUAAGACAGAUGUGAAAUCCCCGGGCUCAACCUGGGAACUGCAUUUGUGACUGUAUAGCUAGAGUACGGUAGAGGGGGAUGGAAUUCCGCGUGUAGCAGUGAAAUGCGUAGAUAUGCGGAGGAACACCGAUGGCGAAGGCAGCCUCCUGGGAUAACACUGACGCUCAGGCACGAAAGCGUGGGGAGCAAACAGGAUUAGAUACCCUUGUAGUCC
rnacentral:rRNA from 1 species